CUAAAUUCAAAUAAAUAUAGUUCAUACUAGAGGUGUCCAUGGGCCGGGCCCAUAAAAAUUCUAAUCCGUUUUUCAAGCCCGGGCCUGGCCCGAAAUAUGGGCAUGAGAUUUUACCCAGGCCCGGCCCGGGAAAAAUAUGGGGCCCGAGCCCGGCCCGGCCCGUUUUGCAUUGAAAUUAAAAUUAUUUUUUUAAUAAAAUUAAAACUAAUUAAAAUCUAGCACAUUUACCACUUAAUUAUUUGAUUGAAUCAUACAUUAACAGAAAGCUAAUUGACAAAUUUCAUAUAAACUUUUAUUAUAGAUUAACAGACAGAAAUGGAAGGGAUUACAUGACUUAACCAACUAUUCCUCAGGAAUUACAUGACUUAACCAACUAUUCCCCAGGAAUUACAUAAAGCACUACAAGAUGAAUCACUCAAGCACACUAUAAUAAUCCAUAAACAUAAUCUUUAAGAGCUAUGCAAAAUCUUAUAGCAUGCUAAUUAUACCUAAAAACAUGUUUACAACAUAAUCAACUUCCAAGACCUAUCCACGAAUCAACAGCAACAUGAUUUUUCAUUUUGCAUUUCAGUAAACAUCAUCAAUCACUUAUUUUUCUUCUCUUUUGCCUUCGAACUUUUACCCAUUUUUUUAGCUUCAAAUUCAUCACCAAAAUAAUAAAUUAAGCAACAAUAAAAAUAAAUUUCAAAUAUAUUGAAAUGAUGCAAUUUGAUAGAAACAAACAGAGCAUUGGCACAUGUUAUCUGCAUAUGUUACCCUAUUUAAAGGAAUAAACUAAACCCAAUUUGCAAUUCAAAAGGCCAAAAAGCUAACCUCUAACGUGAAUUCAAUCUGUAAUUAAUUUCUCAAAACUUGCUUUAUCUAAUUUAACAUUCUUAUAUGUCGAUGUGGUAUAGUUCUAGAAUAGUCAACAUUGGUUAACAUUCAGUAAAAGGAUGCUCCAAAUGAAGUGUGUGUAACUUCAGUAGAAAGAAGUUGAAAGAAAACUGCAAUUAGAAAUGAAGUAAGAAUGUUAAAUUAAGUAAACAAAACACAUCAUGCCUGUAUGUUUUGUAACUAAAAUUAAGCGAAUCAUCUUGAGAGGUAAAAGAGUGGGUAAUCUGCAGAAAGUGGGAACUUAGCAUUAUCUACUCUUGAUUUCAGUCUGCAUUUCAGGUUAUUGCUGUUUUGAUGCAUAAAUUCAUUGAAAGAACAAUUGUUUUUAAUAAAGAGAAUGAAAACGAGGAAACCGAAGAAGAUGAGCAAACCCGUACCUGUAACAAACCGACCGGAGGUGGAUCGGUGAAUGUCUUGACGGUGGAGGUGGAUCGGUAUUGGAAGACUCUGUCGAUUUUGGAAAUGGAAAAAAAAUGGAGGAAGGCACAGCCGUACAGCACAAUAGAUAGGGUUAGGGAUUUUGUCUCUGUCAGUGUAAGGAAAUGAAAGUAAAUGAAAAACUUUUAUAUUUUAAAAAUAAAAAAAUACAUAUUUAAUAUAUUUUUGGGCUGGGCCGGGCCCGGGCCAAAAAAAUUUUGCCCGAGGCCCGGCCCAUUUUUUAAACGGGCCUAAAAUUUUGCCCAAGCCCAUAUUUCGGGCCUAUAUUUUUACCCAAACCCUCCCAUAUUUCGGGCGGGCCGUCGGGCUGGGCCGCCCGGCCCAUGGACAAGUCUAGUUCAUACUAACAGUCAUCACCAUCUGCAAGAGAUAACCUCUAAAACUGAGUUUCCAUCAUUGGGCGAACUACACUAGGAUCUCAAAG
rnacentral:lncRNA from 1 species